rnacentral:tmRNA from 1 species
UCCCUUCACAUGAAGCCUCGAAACGCCUAUAUACCCUCUGUCGGGUAACCGACUAUGGCGAUAAACGCCGUUCGGAAUAGGCGUUGCGGACCCGGGGGCAGUACCCGGCGCCUCCACCACGAACACAUCCGGCUCAGCGCUUACUGCAGCGAGGGCAUCGAAAUGGCGGGUGUGGUCUUGAUGGGGGCGAACCAGGAUCGACGUGCGUGAUAAAGGUGCGGUUUUCGCCCGGCAUGAUACCGCCGUUACCGGGUCACACUUACAAAUGCCAACGAUAACGAGGCAUUUGCCGCUGCUGCGUAAACACCGUUAGCAACGGCGGGGUUUCGGGGGGCACCUGGCAACAGAAGCCCCCCACU